rnacentral:rRNA from 1 species
UCCUACGGGAGGCAGCAGUGGGGAAUUUUGGACAAUGGGCGAAAGCCUGAUCCAGUAAUGCCGCGUGUGUGAAGAAGGCCUUCGGGUUGUAAAGCAUUUUUGUCCGGAAAGAAAUGGCUCUGGUUAAUACCUGGGGUCGAUGACGGUACCGGAAGAAUAAGGACCGGCUAACUACGUGCCAGCAGCCGCGGUAAUACGUAGGGUCCAAGCGUUAAUCGGAAUUACUGGGCGUAAAGCGUGCGCAGGCGGUUGUGCAAGACCGAUGUGAAAUCCCCGAGCUUAACUUGGGAAUUGCAUUGGUGACUGCACGGCUAGAGUGUGUCAGAGGGGGGUAGAAUUCCACGUGUAGCAGUGAAAUGCGUAGAGAUGUGGAGGAAUACCGAUGGCGAAGGCAGCCCCCUGGGAUAACACUGACGCUCAUGCACGAAAGCGUGGGGAGCAAACAGGAUUAGAUACCCUGGUAGUCCACGCCCUAAACGAUGUCAACUAGUUGUUGGGGAUUCAUUUCCUUAGUAACGUAGCUAACGCGUGAAGUUGACCGCCUGGGGAGUACGGUCGCAAGAUUAAAACUCAAAGGAAUUGACGG